AGGCCCUAGCAGCCGCCGCCGCGCCGAGAGCGGUUCUCAGUUCCCGUUGUCUUUCCCGCCGCGCAGCGCUUCCGCCUACAGCCUCCGCCCCCGCAGCAGGAGGGGGAAGCAGGUGGCUUCAACAAUGAAGGACCAGAGAAAGGCAAACUUGGCUGUUCCUGAGAAUUGUGUUUUUCUCAUUUCAUGUGGUAGGACUUCUAAUGGAAAACCCGCCUCGCACUUUUCUUGGACGACAUCUCAAAUGCCCCUCACUUUGGCCUCUCGGGCACCAGACAACAAGCUGCA
rnacentral:lncRNA from 1 species